GCCAUCAGCACCCCUUUCCACGAAGAUGUCUGGUGUUCACUCUCAGAUGAAGAGAGGGAGUACUCAAACUCUAGGAUUCCUCAUAGCCCAAUAGACAGCAGCUUAACAGAAUUUCAACAGAAUGUUAAUUACACACAUAUAAUGAAUACUAUGCAUCAGGUAUUGUUCAAAUAACUUUACAAAUAUUAACUCAUUUAGCCUUAUACUACCCUAAUGAGGCAGGUAAAAUUAUUACCCCCAUUUUAUAGAGGAGGAAAUUGGGGCACAGAGAGGUUAAGUAACUGGCCCAGGGUCACACAGCCAGGAAGCCCAAAAGCCAGGAGUUGGCUCACAUUUUUAAUCUCUGCACUCUGCUGCCUAUGGAUUUGUUGGUUUCCUUCUUUUUCCAAUCAUUAAAUUAUCCUAACAGUUUUAUUGAGAUAUAAUUUAUAUACCGUAAACAUCACCCAUUUUAAGUGUACAAUUGAACAAUUUUAGUAAACUUAUCAAAUUGUGCAACCAUCACAACAAGCCAACUUUAGAGCAUUUCUAUCACCCUGGGAAAGAUUCUUUGUGCCCUUUUGCAGUCACUGUUAGUUCCAACCUCUGCUUGAAGCAACCAUUAAUCUUUCUGUCUCUGUAGAUUUGUCCUGGAAAUUUCCUAUACAUAGAAUCAUACAAUACGUGGUCUUUUGAGUCUAGCUUCUGUCACUUAACAUGAUGUAUUUGAGGUAGAUCCAUAUUGCAGCAUGUAUCACUCCAUUCGUUUUUGUGAUCUAAUAAUAUUCCAUUAUAUGGAUUUACUGCAUUUAGUUUAUCCAUUCACCAGCCGAGAGGCUUUUCCAUUGUUUCCACUUUUUGGCUGUGAUAAAUAAAGCUGCUAUGAACAUCUGUGUACAAGCCUUUGACUGGACAUAUAUUUCUCUUUCUCUUUAGGUAUAUGCCUAGGAGUGGAAUUGCUGAUUUGUGUGGUACAUUUAUGUUUACUUGUUGUAAAAACUGCUAAAUCUAUUUCCCAAAGUGCUGCACCAUUUUCCAUUCCACAGCCAUGGAUUUUAUAGACUGUGAGGUCCCGAUGCAAAUCCUAGGGCCACCCAUACAAGCAGACAGAGCCCAAUUUAGGGUCCUGGAACCAACCUAGGUGUAAAAUGAAGCCAUCUGGGGAUGGGGGGGACUGAGUCAAGCUCAGCCUCUCUGCAGCUUCUGAUGUCUGAGAAACAGGUGGGCAAGAAAUCAGCUGUUCUACUUUCUAAUCCAGAAAAACAUUGCCCUCUGGGACCUAGAGCACUUGUUAGGGGAAAAUCAGCAAAGUGGCGAUAACACCAAAAGGAAAAACAGAAACACACUGUGGAGACGUCAAGGGCGAUCUCAGCAAAGGAAGAAAACCAGCUUGAGAAGGCAGCAGUAAAGGCAGUUGGCCUGCAGCUCCCAUGCUCCGGAAGCCUUUAGUUCCCACUGCCAGCAUCCUCAGAGCCCUUUCCGACUACCUCGGAGGCCAGCGAGAGGAUAAUGGGGUGAUGGCAAGGGGGAGCCCCAGGACUCAGCUGCCUAUGGCUCUGAACAGACAGUGCUGGUCCAGCCAGGGAAGGCCUUCUCCAGAGGGGCACUGCUGGAGGAAGGAAGGAAGGAACGCCGCUGCCCGCCUGCCAGCCAGGAUAGCUCUGAGUGUCACCAGCUCUCCAGUUUGUGCCACAUGUUAUCUAAGGAGUCAUUUCACUAUUUAAUAAAGAGAUCCAGCUUUUGAUAGAGAGAAUUUGACAUGUCUGGCAGCAGCUGCAAAGGACAGAACUUUAUAAUGAUGGCCCGUGGUGGGUGUCUACACACACAACUGCCUGCCCAGCUUCCUCCUGACACGUCCCCUCACAUGGGAGUGAAACCGACAUGGCACUGCUGAAACACACAGAGUACACAGGGAUGGCACAGGGGGCAUGCCUUGCAGAAUGGAAUGGGCCUCUGCUUGCUGCUGAAUGCCACGUGCUCAGGACAGGUGGUAACUGUACUGGGUCGAAUUGCGUCCCUUCAAAUUCAUGUCCACAAGGACGCUGUGAAGGUGCUCCUAUUUGGAAAUAGGGCCUUUGCAGGUAUAAUUAAAGGGAAAUGAGGUCAUAUCAGAUUACAGUGGGCCGUAAUCCAAUGACUGGUAUUCUUUCCUAUAAGAGGGAAAUUUGGGCACAGACACAGAGAAGACACCGUGUGAAGACACAGACACAGAGGAGAGAAACUCAUAUGAAGACAAAGGCAGAGGCUGGGGUGAUACAGCUAUAAACCAAGGGACCCCAAGUGUUGCCAGGAAACCCCCAGAAGCCAGGACAAAACAAAGUAGGAUCCUUCCCUAGAGAUUUCAGAGGGACCAUGGCCCUACUAACACCUUGAUUUUAGACUCGUGACCCCCAGAACUGUGAGAUAAUACAUUCCUGUGGUUUAAAGCCACCCAGUUUAUGGUGCUUUGCCAAGGCAGCUCCAGGAAAUGGAACAAAAGCUGAGCCCAGGCUGCAGGAUUGGCUCAGCUAGGCAGCUGGUGAGCUAGAGAAAUGGGAAUGACCCUCCACAUCAGCCUGACACCGGGUAUUAAAUCACUGCACCAAGUAUGUCAACACAACGCCCAGGUGGCCGCUGGACAAUAAGGCCACAGGGCCCCAGAGAGUGGCUGGACUUUGCUGUCUCGUCUGUACCUUGUGUGAGAGCUUGAGACUCAGAGGAGCCCGUGGGGCACAUGGAGGUGAACUUAGUCCCAGAUACAUUGUAUGGACGUGGUCAUGGGACACCAGUACUCAACAGGUAGGUGCUCUCCAGGGGGGCCCAUGACACAGGCCUGGCCAGGGAAGGCCCUAGGGACUUUCCAGAACUGGCCUGAGUUCCCGGCUUCCUAAGAGGAACAAUGCCGGGAGGAAGGGAGCAGUGGGACCCCAGCCAUAGACAGUACAUCCUGUCCAUGGGCUCACAACAGGCUUCGAAAUAAACAAGUGUUGUUGUCCCCAGUUAAACUUCUGUUUCCCUUCCACAGGGAACUCUCAGCUGCAGGCUCCUGGCCUGAGCAGACCUUCUCAGAAUGGCCAAAGUGCCUGUCCUCAGGAGCCAGGACUCCAGCUCAAUCUUAGCUACAAGACUCCAACCAAAAUCUUGGGGGGGAUAGAGGCCACAUUCUGUCCCUGCAGGAGGCCUCUCAGGCUCCCUGAGAACCUGUUUCUAGUUCUCUAGUGGAUUUCAGUUGACAGAACUCUCUACUUCAGCAUCCCUGGGUCCCAGGGCUGAAGCUGCAUCUAAGAACCUGAGCCCUGAAGGCCAGGGCGGGUUUGCUGACAGAGGCGCAGGGCCAUCUGAUGUCAGACCUGAAAGGGCCCCAGGGCCAGUCCAAGCCUAGACCAUCUCCACUGUGGGAGAAUAGGGGGUAGGUCUGGAGACAGAAAGGGGUCCUCUUUCUUUCUACAUGGGUCUUGGCUGUGCAGUUACUGGCCCGAUGACCACACUGGGCCUGGGACUCUAUGCCUCCUCUGCCUUGGUUGGCAUAGUGAGGAGUGACCAGAAUCCUCCCCUUCCCCUACCCUAAGCAGCAGCCUGGGUGACUGGGGCAGGGCAGCUUCCCUGGCUGAGUCCAUUGUUUUAAAGGACAAUCCUCUCCCCCUCUCCCCUCCCUGGUGGUCUGCCAUCAGCCUAGGCACAGAAAAGAACAUCACUAACACAGGCUGGAAUGGGUCACAGGCACAGGCUUUAUCAGGCGACAAGGAUCAUUGAUUGGCCAUGAGUCGCAGUCCUGUGGGUGAAGAACAAGCCACAGAUACUGGAGCAUCAAUAUCUGGGGGUCUUUGUGAUGGUGUCCAGAGAGUCCAGACCACUGAGGAGGUGGCGUCCACAGUGGAUGAAUACACAACGGGCAGGCCAGGUUCUGCCAGUGACCCCAAGCAGAGCACCAGCCCCUGUGGCCACCUACCCCGCUGUGCCCUCUGCUCCUAUGUCACUUGACCCAAAGCAGGUGGGGAGCAGGAGGCAGGGAGCCAGCAUCAGGGUGCAGAAAGGGCAGGGAGGGGACAAAGCCCAGAGGAGAGCUGGAGCCACCUCUCGGAGGAAGACCUGGCCCCAUCCCCUCCCCACUCCUACUGAGACCUUCCGCUGCAGUCAGCAAGGGAUGCAGGGCCCGGGGCUGAGUGCUGGGAAGGAGGGGCGGGUGUGAAGGGGGAAGGCAAAUGGGUGGAGCCGGUGCUGGAGCUGUCCCAGAGCUGGCUCAGAGCCCUGGGGAGGGAGCUGACCCUCUGAGCCUGGGUUAAGACGGAGGAGGAGGGAGUCAGCUCUCGACCCCAAAACCACCUGUUUCCUCUCACUCUAGCACUGGUGGAGGGGAAGCUGCUCAGGACAGGGCGCCACAGCUGGAGAGGGACGUGAUCAGAUGCAGGACAGAGCAGACAGGUCCUGGCACGGGCCAGGAGCUGAGACACUCAACACUGAUGGCUGCAAACCACCCGCACCAUCAGCCGGGGGCUCCCUCAGGGCUGGCUUUGGUGUCUAUCAGAAAAGGGUCUGAGGUCCUAGUCCCACCCGCUCAAUGCUUCUGCCAGGCAGGACAGGGCCAAGGAGCAAUAGUGGUUGCAUUUCCUUUAAAACUACUGUUUCAUUAAAAAACAAAACAAAACAAAACAAAAAACUAGCUCUGAACAUGAAGAAUUAUAUCCAAGAAAGACACCUUGACAUUUUUUGCUUUAUUAAACAUCAUUCACUGAGAAUUUCCAAAGCACUGUGUGGUGCCUAGACCUGUGUACCAGCGCUCUGGGGGUCGG
rnacentral:lncRNA from 10 species